rnacentral:rRNA from 1 species
UACGUAGGGGGCGAGCGUUGUCCGGAUUCAUUGGGCGUAAAGAGCUCGUAGGCGGCUUGGCAAGUCGGGUGUGAAAACUCCAGGCUCAACCUGGAGAUGCCACCCGAUACUGCUAUGGCUUGAGUUCGGUAGGGGACCACGGAAUUCCUGGUGUAGCGGUGAAAUGCGCAGAUAUCAGGAGGAACACCAACGGCGAAGGCAGCACUCUGGGCCGGUACUGACGCUGAGGAGCGAAAGCGUGGGGAGCAAACAGG